AGGGGCCACUUGCUCUGGAUCCCUCACAAAUACUGCUCCGUGUUCCACUAAUAGGCCAACUGAUAGUCAAGGCUCCUGAACAGGCUUCACCCUAAGGUUUGACAGGAGGCAGGAUGCUGGAGUGGGUAACCAUUGUCCCCAGGCCUUCCUGUACUGAAGGCUCAGGCUACAGGGGAGACCAGCAGGAGGUCGGUGUGCACAUUCAGAGACUAUAGCUGCAUGAGUGGUCAACUGGCCCCACAGUGGGUUUGCCCACAUGGUUUAUUAAGCUGCUGUAGCUUAAUUGACUGUUGGUUGUGUAAUUAGUCCUUUGUUUGAUUUUAAAGCCUAAACACUUACAAAGUAAAUUAGCUGAAUAGACAGAAGUGGAGUUUUCAGGCCUACCAAAUACUAUGUAAUUAAUCAGGUCUGAUUUUCAUGGCCUCAGGAAGAGGGUCCAACCUAAAUCCAGGACUCAGUCAUCCCUAGUUGUGCCUGGGAAUUGACUCUACCCCUCUGGGUCUCAGUUUCCCCAUUAAUGACCAAGUCUGUGAUGGGACCUGAAUGAGGCAUGUUGCCCCCAUCUGGCUUGUACCAGUGCCUGCCAGAGACCCAGCUAGGAAAGGAGGGGGAAAUUGGAGUGGGUAGGAUGUAGGUUCUAACCCGAGGCAGAAGUCCCAUGACCCUGUCCAUCAAGUCCUGUCCCAGCCAGUCUAAUCUCAGAAGUUGACUGUAUAUUAUAUAGACAUACAGACUUGUAUAUAACUCUCCAUUCAUCCCCAGCUGCUAGGACCCACUGUGUCCAUGUCCCUCACAUGUCCACACUGGUCCACCUCAGAGCAAACCACAUCAGUCUGGGUCCAGCAGAGCCACCCUGAUCCUUAGCUCAGUCACCUGUGGCUCCAUCAUACCCAGUAUUAUCACUGGUCCUCAGUCUUGGUCACCUCACCCUGUCCCUUUCCUGCCAUCUCUUGUCUGUGACUUCCCCAGGGCUUCCCCCUUUCCCGACUCUAUUCCUUCCUUCCAGGCGCAAUGCUCAGUCUCCUCCGACUCUGACCUUCCUGCUGAGGUUGGGUCUGUUGUAUGCAUCACAAGGCCUUCCAUUGAAAGCACUCUGGAGGCACAAGAGACAAUGUCCGCAGCCUGAAGGACAGGGAUGUCAUACUUAGGCAGGGGUGUUCUGCCUGGCACCUCCUGGUUUCUGAUAGCCAUCUUCUGGGCUUUAGCAUGCAAGAACUGGAUAACAACACUUGAAUUGCCUUGCAUGGGUUCACCCUCAACUGUCAUUAGCCCUAUGUAUGUUUCUGCUAGAUAUCACCUAGAACCUGGUUCUGGGCUCUAAACUAAGCUGCCAGCCUCUGCUGGCUGACUUGCCACAGCAGGUCCUCUACUCUCUAAGCUUCCAGUUCUCUGAAAUAGACAGAUGAGCUUGGAGCAGUGGCCACAGUCUCUCCUCAAACCCCGGCUCCCACAGUUGAGGGCAGCAGCUCUUACCCUCAAAGGUUCAUCAGCUCCAAGGGCUCUAAGAGUCAAGUGGGAAAGAGGUUUAUGGAACCAGUUGUGGGCUGUCUGGUCCCUAAGGAUACCAGGCAGCUAGGGGGAGGCCCCAGUUGGUGACCUAGCUGCAUGUGUGUGUGUGUGUGUGUGUGUGUGUGUGUCUUUAAUCCCAGUGCUUAGGAGGCAGAGGCAGAUGGAUCUCUUUGAGUUUGAGCAGCAGGCAGAGGCAGGCAGACUCUGAGUUUGAGGCCACCCUGGUCUACAUAGUGAGUUCCAGGACAGCCAGGGCUAUUUAGAGAGACCCUAUUUUUUUUUUCAACAUAAUAUAUUUAUUGAUUAUUUGGGAAUCUCACGUCAUGCACCCUGAUUGUGCUCACUGCCCAGUCUUCUCAUGUCUGCCCCUUUCCUCUAUGACCUUCCCCCUUCUCCC
rnacentral:lncRNA from 1 species